rnacentral:lncRNA from 1 species
GUCAUGGGCCGAAGCUGUGUUCCUGCUUCUCCUCUGGGAUUAUCAGCCUUGACUAUGCUGAAAUUCCUUGUACUCUGGCCGGCCACACUUUUGUUCCCUAUAAGAAGAGGAACUAAAGUGAAAGUCCCAUAGCUGGUUGCUAAAUUCUUAACUCCAUGCAGCAGAGUACUCUUGGCCUCUCCUUCCACCCAGUGUCCCUAUUGGUUUUCCAAGCAUAUAUAUUUUUUCAGCUCCUUUCUGUUAGCUUAGAAAGCUUGACCCAGUAAUGGACCUUUAGGACCAGAUGUUAUAGGGGGUAGCAGCAUAGAUUCCCAGAAAGCAGAUUCUGAGCACACUGACCCCUUGGCUUUUCUCAGACCACUGCCAAGCAACAGGUCCCUUUACUAAUCUU